rnacentral:rRNA from 1 species
CGGGACGGGUGAGUAAUGUCUGGGAAACGUGCCUGAUGAGGGGGAGUAACUACUGGAAACGGUAGCUAAUACCGCAUAACGUCGCAAGACCAAAGAGGGGGACCUUCGGGCCUCUUGCCAUCGGAUGUGCCCAGAUGGGAUUAGCUAGUAGGUGGGGUAACGGCUCACCUAGGCGACGAUCCCUAGCUGGUCUGAGAGGAUGCCAGCCACACUGGAACUGAGACACGGUCCAG